UACGGAGGGGGCUAGCGUUGUUCGGAAUUACUGGGCGUAAAGCGCACGUAGGCGGCUUUGUAAGUUAGAGGUGAAAGCCCGGGGCUCAACUCCGGAAUUGCCUUUAAGACUGCAUCGCUUGAAUCCGGGAGAGGUGAGUGGAAUUCCGAGUGUAGAGGUGAAAUUCGUAGAUAUUCGGAAGAACACCAGUGGCGAAGGCGGCUCACUGGACCGGUAUUGACGCUGGAGGGUGCGAAAAGCGUGGGGAGCAA
rnacentral:rRNA from 1 species